UGAGGCUAAAUGAGCAGGUAGCAUUAAGAGUCACGUUGUUGGAAGGUAAUGAACUAAAGUGGAUAAAAAUAUCUUCUUCUUCCGUUGGAGAAGAAAGACUUUUCACUAAAAGUAAAUAAAAAUUUUCCAUGGCUCCCCGCUCAUACCUUUCAAUGCAAGAAAAUGAAAAGUCACAUGUGGGGCUCAUUGCCAUUUGUGGUAUGGUGAGGGUAGAAGUUUCGAAGACUCGUAUAGGAUUGAUGGGUUGAGAAGUCAUCUGGCUGUGUGAUAGGUCAAGGUCAGGGUUAUUUGAAGACUGGAAGCCAGGAAAGAGACCGACAAAUCUGACAAGGGUCCUCUCUGUGCCCUCUCUGGAGAGAGAAACUUCAAAUUUCAGAGAGAUUAAUUGCCUGCCCAGAAUGCACUUCUCACACAUCGGAGGACACAGUGUUGGCUACUCGUAUGGUGGGGACCAACAACGUAGGCUUCAUCCUUACCUUCUUCUCAGACCUGGACUACACACGUUAGUUUUGUCAUCUGUCCAACUGUCAUACAUACAAAAGUCAGUAAGACUUUGUGAUGUCAGAGAGCCAUUCGAAGUGCUUUCAGUACCAGCCUGUUAAAUAUCAGAAAUGCCUGUGAUGGUUUGAUAAAGAUCUUCAAGGAGGACUGCAAAUUUGGCUUCUACUGAGGCCUUGCUGUGCACCCAAACCUUGGCAGGACAUGUCCUGCUUACUUAUCCUUGGCAUUUUGAGAGCCACCGGACUACAGGCAGGUCCUUUGAUGGUUAGGAUGGUUUGUCUGUUAUUGUUAGAGAAUAGCAUUGAUCUGAAGAAGCUGACUUAAUAUUACUAUGGGUUUUUAAGCCUCGGUAUUAAUACUCAUCUCUAUUAAAAAUUUUCCCUACCAAAUCUCUGGCCCAACCGUAGUGACAGGGUCCUGAUUAGAUUUCAAGGGCUGUGUUGACUGUCAGUGUUCUCCCUGCAGUACCCAGCAUGGGGUUGGCUCCUUCUUGGGUCUGGAGUGAGGCAGACAGGCUUGAGGGAUCCUUUGUCUAGUGGAAACUCAGUUCAACAGUGCUGCAAAGCAUCUGUCCUUCUCCCUCCAGAAACAGCAUCACACUUCUCCCUCCAAGUCUGCAGUGGUGACACACUUCUCCCUCCAAGUCUGCAGUGGUGACGCCACUCCUCAGCUUGCUUUCUGCUGGGUUUGCGUCAAACCGGAGAACUCGUUUCCAGCAGGGUUCAGAAGCUGAGAUUACAUCUCUGUUGCCUAAGCACCAAUUAAAACUUCUAACUUUUAACCACAUAGCCUUUUUCCUUGUUACAUGUUUGUCCGUUCUGCAGAACACUUUCAUGUACAUGACGAUCAAUUUUCCUCCUGGCUAUGUCAAUUCAGUAUGAAAAGGAAGAAACUAAAGCUGGAAGAAUCCAUAGCAAUUAUUCAUGUCACAGGCUGGACAAGUGGCCUGAAGGUGAAGGAAGAGUUUAUGGUCACAUGGUGAACAGAACAGUCCCCGCCAAACUGGAAAGCUCCGUGACUUAGCAGCUGAGCCGGAAAUGGAAACCAAGUAGUCCAGUUCUUAUGCAAAUGGACUAAAACGACAGACCCUGCCCUUUGACCUUCUGCUAAAAACAGAAACUUGGGCGGCAGAAAAAAAAAUACCCCUCAGAAAGAAAGAAAGAAGGAAGGAAGGAAGGAAAGAAGGAAGAAGGAAGGGGACAGACAGACAAACAAGCAAAGGCUUGUUUGGUGGUACCAGCCACAGCAGGGAGCUCAUGUGCCUGCCCCAUGCUUCAGGACUACGAUGUGGUGUCCGUAAUUGGAUAGAACGCUCAGGCUACUUCCGGGAAGGGUUCUUGAAUCUACACCUCCAACGGUAGAAAUAAAUGUAUGGACCAAGAAUUGCUGAGUGAUGGCUUUCGAAGUUAAAAGGGCAUAAAAAGGGGCCACUCAUCACACCAAAUUCAUCACGAAUGACUUAAAUAGAUCUCACAAUCUGUUCCAUUCUCUAGACAGGAUUUAAGAGAAACGCCCACUUGAUUUGAAUCUCAAGGCUGCAUCACAUCCUGCUAGGAAUCCAGAGAGCUAAUAUUUCGCCUUGAAUCUUGUUACCGGAGGAGGAUAUUGAAUUUGGAUAAUACAGGUGGAGAAGUGGGACGGCUGGCAGGCAGGCUGCUGUGAGGGCCCACCGCGCUGGGCCGUGAGACUUCUUCCUCUUGCCUCUCCAUUUUGCUGUCUGUCCAUUCUCUCUUUAGGACAAAGCCUUCAUCUUCUUUUUGGAUCAGGCCCCUGUCAUGGUCAGCCUCACCCUUUCUUCAACCCGGUAUUCCGUUCUUCUGUCUCCUCUCUUCUUGCCUUGGUGAGGACAUGGGUUGAUGCUCAAUGGCCGUGGGCUGAUGGGAACUGCAGUUGUCUACAGCAUUUGCAACAGCAGAGCUCACUCUGAAACAGGAAGGGGCCCGGUUGGAAGGCAGCAUCCCUGGACAGCAGCAAGUGGAUUAUCCCCGAUGAGGGGAAAGGCUUACUUGCCUCUCUCCCACUCUGAGGUCUUCUUCAUCACUUUCUUAUGGGCUGGGAACUAUUCUCCCAUUCUACGGAAGCUGAGAGACACCAGAUGACCUACCCUGCUUCUACAGUAUGACCUCACACGUGUGGCUGGCUGUGCAUGGACAUGUAUGCACACACACACGGAAGCCAGAAGUUGACCUCCUGUGCCUAUUGUUCUGACACAGACUCUCCCAUUGAGGUUGGAAUUCGGUGACUCAGUCUGGCUAGGCUGAUUGACCAGUGGGCCCAGGACUCUUUCUGGCUCUGGUUUCUGACUCUAGGGUUGUAAAUCCAUGCUGAUAUGCACUCCUUUAGAUGGGAUAUGGAUCUCUUCAGCCCCGAGAAUCCCCACCCUUAAACAUCUCAUCUCCCUCUGCAUGCUGGCUCCCAGUGUUGCUCUCGUCUAAGAGUUUUGUCCACAUUCGUGACACCAAGACUUCUGAGUCAUAUUUAAAAAGCCAACAACAGUGCUAAUCAGAAUUAACGUGGCCUUGCUGUGAACGGUUGACCUCUGUCGGCUGCUCUGAUUGCUUCCUGGGACGUGCGCACUUCUUCACGUCCUCACAGAGCACCACGUUGGUUUACAUUACUUCGAGUCCUUGCCGGAGGACCACGUUGGUUUUGCGUGGCUAAUCUAAGAAUCUACCCAUGAACUUUUUCCACCUGCAGCCAAGGCUCAUUCAUUUGUUCAAUCAACAAAUAUUUAUUGCAGCCCUGCUACGGGCAGCCGACUGAGUAAAGUGCUGGGGGAGGGAUACAAAGAGGCAAAAGGCACAGUCGUUGCCCAUCAGAAAUCGCCACCAGUGGAGAAUUAAAUUAAUUAGAAGCCCGCUAAAUAACUGGUCUCAGUUAAGCUGAUGGGGUGAGAACAGUGGGCCUUUUAAAAUGCUAAUCUAUAAUUCGCUUUGCCAACGUAGACAGCAGUUGGGAGGGGGGCUCUGUGGGGGUGACUGAGAAUGCUCUCCUUUAGGUAACAUCAUAGGCAUGAGUACAUACAAACUGCCUUUCAAGGGGCAGAGGUGGGCAUAGCUUGAUGUCUCCUCAUGGAACUGGCCUAGUCUUGCUUACAAAGACCAACACCACAGGCUUUAGAAAGGGAGAAGUAAUGGAGACACGGUCUUUGUCCUGCAAUCAGAGAUAAAUGACCUAUAGUGGGGUGAAGUCCAGGUAUUUUAACCCCACCCCCCAGGCUGAACCGUAACCAAUUACCUGCUGCCAGUUUAUUCUAAUGGAACACAACAAAAAAAGUCUGUAUUUCUCCCAUGUCCAGUAUUACAACGUCCCUCAGAAUACGCACAUACAUAAACACUCUCCCACUUCUCCAGCGCUCUCCAGUAUGCCAAGUAGUGUCCGGGUCACUAGGAGAACAAUCAGGAGGUACAAGUCCAGUGUCCCUCCUUGGAGUCUGUCCUGUUUGGUGGAUAAGACUGUAAGAAUAAAAGCACAGGAUGAUGGAGGGGUCUGCGAUUAUUAAUUCAUAGACAAGAGGUGAAAACCGGAGGGGUGCAAAGAAGCUAAGUCUUAGCGGUCUUCGAAAGCAGGCUAGGGUUCCGGCGAGAAGCAGACACGAGCAGCGCAAUCCACUUUGAGGAAACACUGUGGCUCUUCGGGGGUGAAAGCUCUCCCAGUGGGGCUGGAGGAGAGGCUUAUCUGCAAAAACACUAGAACAUCCCGAUAAACACAGAACCUGCUGGGAACUGACUUGGAACCUUAUUUUAGAGGUCUUUAAAUAGUGGGCUAAACGGCUUGUAUUUUUAUCCCAUAGCCAACACAUUAAAAAAAAAAUAUGGUCAGUAAGUGAUUUUCAGAACUCUGUCCACAGGCAAGCUUAAGAAAUUGGAUAGCAAGAUGUCAAGUGGCCUGAAGGCGACUCCGAGGAAGGAAAGUGACCAACAGGAGGCCAGUUCUUGAAGACAUUAGCCAGCUGCGCUGGCUCUGCUAUGGCGACCGCACUGGGAACAAACUGCUUAGUCAUCUUUGGCAGUGAGCACCUUCUAUGGUCAUGUAAAUUUCCUAUCUGUGCUUGUCUAGGUCCACCCCACACUGUCCUUUAAAACCAUCCCAAACUCUACCUUACUGAUUGACCGUUGGCCUGUAUGAAGAAGAGCUUAAAUACACCGUCGUUGGGGCCAAGACAGGCCAGCAAGUGCCUAGAGGGACAAUUUGUACAUACAGAAGGCAUCAUUUCUCUUUGAGCGUUUAACCCUUUAGCAUUAUGUCUGAAAGGAGAAUGACGAACACAACCAGAAAAAGAACAAAAAAAAAAAAAAAAAACAACAAAAAAAAAAAACAAAAAACAACAACAACAAAAAAAAAAAAAAAAACCAAAGAUUUUGGUAGGUCAUCAAACUCCGAGGUUUGUGAAGAGAAGAUUUCAAAAUGAGUCAAGAAAAUUCAAGAAUCGAAAGACGGUCUGGUCAGUGGAAGCUCCUUGCACUGUUCCCUCUCGGCACUACUUGUCUACACAAGCUGUGUUCCACGAUAGUAUCUUAUUAUCCUUCGAUGUGUCAUUAAAGGUGUUUCACAAGCAUCGGAGUAAACAAACACACAGCCUGUCAGAGAGGUAUUACCUGCUCAAAGCCAGGACAGGCCGGGGCUUUGCUCUCUGGGAGGCAAUGUUUCAAAAAAUAGCGACUUUA